ACAAACCUAAAACUUCUUUACUAUUUUUGGCCAAAACACCCUCGGAGAAGAACCCUAAAAUAACGUCAAUGUCGACUCCACCACCUUCAACCGACUCCUUAAAUUCUCAUGAAGAUAUCAACUACAAUGUGAUCCAUUCCAUCUUCAUUGAAUGUGAUUAGAAGAUUGCAGACAACCAAAGAGAAAUGCAGCGGUUGAAGGACCAGCUUGGACAAGACUACAUUGUCAAACUUGAAGGAUCACAAGUUGGAUGACCAUGACAAUAAGUUUCAAGUUUUUGGUGUUGCGAUGGGUGGCAUGGUGGUAGGGAUGCUCGUGUUGCUGGUGGUUGUGCUCCAUUUUGUUGUCAAGCUUGGGCGAAGGGUGGUUAUGAAGCAUAUAAGUAUUUAGAUUUUGUGUUUUUUUGGCGAUAUAUGUCGAUGAUUGUAAAAGAACUGUCUUCAUGACAGGAAUUUUCUAACCUUACUCCAAUGAUGAAUGAAAAACAUGAUCAAGUCAGGUGUUUUGAUGUAACAUUUUUGUUUUUGUUAUUUUCUUAUUUUCUGACAUACAAAAAAAUAUGUCACCAGUGAAUGUUAAGUGGGAAGAAGGAAAAAGUAUUGUGUUAGUGAACCCCACAUGCCUUACAUGGUGUGGUAUUUGAGUCUUUUCCACGUACUCGAAAUCUGAAAAAAGCUUCUUCUCUACCUACCCGUUUCAUUCUCUCACUUUGUUUGCUCCUUCAUAUACUCCCCACUGUUAAGCAAGAUAACGAAUAACAUGGAAUGUGGAUGUGGAAGUACUGCAAUAAUACAAACAUCGCAGACUAGCAAUAGCCCCAGAAGACCAUUUUAUGCAUGUCCAAACAAGGAAGCUUGUUCAGGUUUUAUAGCUUAGGUUGAUGAAGUAAAGUGCAACACUGAAGGUGUGAUCGUACGUGGGUUGAUUAGGUCGAAGAAAAAGCUUCAAUUCGAGGUGUUUAAGUUGAAUUUGUACUUAGUCUGUAGUUGGAUUUUUUUGUUUAGUUAUGUACAAGUUGUAAUCAAAGUCAUUUGGGUUAAAUUAUGAACAAGCUGUCAUGUAAGUGACGUUUAAAACUUAUAAUGGUUAUGUGAUUUUCUUUGUUA